GGAGGGGUACGGAAGUGGUCAUAACCGGAUCGCCUCGAAAGCGAUUUGAGCCUUUAAAAGGGCUUACGAGAGUUCGAAUCUCUCCCCCUCCGCCA
rnacentral:tRNA from 1 species